rnacentral:lncRNA from 1 species
AUGGAGGAGCAGUCCGCACUGCUCGCGGCGGAAGAUCCGCUCGCCCCCACCACGGCUCCGGAGCUGCCGGCUUCCGCACCCCCACCGCAGAACAGCAGGACCUUCACCGGCCUGAGGAUCUUCUGCAGGAGAGCAGACUCUUCAAUUCAGCCACUGAGCUGCUAUGAAGGAGGACUUCUUGAAAAAUGGAGGUCAGCCCUGAAAUACGAGCAGCAGGAAGUUCCUGUGUGGCGCAACCUCUUACCUGGCAGCUGCUGUCAUCGUGAUGCUCCGCUGUGAAGAAAAGCUCCACAUUCAGGUUCUUCAGAUGCUUCUUUAAUCAGCUCCCCUAAUUAUAGCUGCUAUUAACAGACCAGCAAAGCAAUUAAUUAAAGGCGUUCAUUUUUAGGGCCUGAUGGGAAAGUUUGACUCCUGAGGAGAAGAUUCAAUCUACCGCUCUCAAAGGAGGAGGAGGAAGAGGAGGAGGAAGGUGCAUCCUCAUCCUCUCUGGAUAGAAACAGCCAAGAAUGUGAAGCAACCAUUUUGGGUUUCCUCUCCUUAAAGAACACAAAUGAGUCUGUGAUGGUCAGAGGUGUAACGAUUUAUUUUAACAAUUCGAUUCAUUUCGUAAUUUGUGGUUGACGAUACGAUUCACUGAACUAAAACGAUUCAGGACAUCUUUAGCCUAAACUUCAGAGAUAAAUACCUGAGUACUGAACAGUGCAGGGGAAGUUUUCCAGAUUCCUUGUGUUUCUUCUAGAUAAUCAAGUUUAAAUUUAACAUAUGUUCAAACAAACAAGUAAAGAAUAAUUGAAUAAAUAAACCUACCAUGUCUCAAUCCAAAAGGUAUUUUCUUAAAAAGAUUAUCAAACGAUUUUAUGAUGGUAAAGGGUCAAUUCGAUUAACAACUUGCUUCAGACAGAUCAAUCUGGUUAUAUUGUAGGAAUAUAAGUGAAUUAAUUGUUACACUCCUAGUGAUGGUUUGUCUACUUCUUGCACAUUUGACUAAACCUGCUCCUGAAUUCCUCAACUUGGUGUUGGUCUCAUCUUUACAGGAUUGUAAUCGUUUCCAUGUUCUGCCCAAACGCUGCUGUUUGAGCUGCUGCUGUUAUAAUAGGAGCUGCAGCAUUUUAUUGUAUUUUUUUUAAUACAAUGAAGCUAAGGAUGAAUGUUUAUUUACAUAAAGUUCUUUGGGUUUCCCGCUUAAGAAGUGAACCAUUUUCGCAUUGUGUAGCGAUGAAUAUUCUGAUUUAAAAAAAAAAGAACAAUUAGACAUGCAAACCUAAUUCAUGGCUCCUCAUAGUUAGAAGUCAGAAGCUCAUAAGGCGUUAAAUAUAAUAAAUGUCUUUAUUAAAAAAGACGUUCAUUCUUCUAGUGCAGGUUCUCACUGUACUGUUGCAAAAUAGCAAAGAAUUUGUGCUGAAAAUGUUGGAAAAAGCUCAUAUAAUUAUAUUAUCAUUGUUAUCAAAUCUUUCCUGGAGUUUGACACCUGUGACAUACGUUGAUUUAGUCGUCUAAGCGUGUAUUCAGACCAAAGCUUGUAAACAUAACCACGUGACUAAAAAUCUUCUCACUCAUUGGUCAGGAAUUACCGGUACUAGGGUGGGUCAAAAGUACGAAAUCAUGGAAGUCCUGCACUUUGUAAUACUUGUCAGCAUAGUUCACUGAUUCAAACUUUAUAUUUCACUGACCAAUUUUAAACGCCCGUAUCAACGGCCCUCGUUAGCUUGGGUGUUUUCACACUGAAAAUGUUUCCAGUCUAAAUACACCUUUAAGAGUGGAUGCACCAACAGGGAGCUUGUGCCGUGCCCAGCUGAUUUUCUACAUCACAAGUACAAACUUUCUCCAAUGGCAUUUUUUUUGUCUGCUCCUGAUUCAUAUCAAUUUAAAUAAAAAAAUAAUACUCGGAAAAGCAGUUUUGAGUUUAAUUUUCUUUUGGAUAUGUCCUCCAUCACCAGAAAAAGGCUGCAAGAACAUGUUAAAAAACCUACAAAACACCAUUUUCACUUUAUUGGGUAUUUAGAAGAGUUCAUGAAGGAAAUAAAGCCGUAGUUUAGUUUAUUUUCGCCUCAAGCUUUUCGUCCAUCUCUGCUUGAACAUUGUUUACAACAAAGCUUGUAAAAUAUUCAAUUCAAUUUUAUUUGUAUAGCCCAAAUUCACAACAACAGUCGUCUCAAUGGGCUACAUGAGAUCAAAAAUGUUGGAUGGACAUUUUUGAUCCUCAUUAUAAUCAUAACGACUAAUCGUUGCAGCUCAAGGGAAAAGAAAGAAGCAGGUUGACCAUGACAGAUGCUAGAACAUUAACUGACACUCCAAACCCCAUCUGGCGUUCUAACAAUUGAUCAGUGAUCAAAGUUUGUAUUCAUGGAUGGCUUUAUUCUCCCUUAAAAAAAAAGAAAAGGAAAGGUUUGCUUAGUGUUUACGACGUUUGAAUCAGUAGAAACUGUGGAAGGCGAGCAGCAGGUAACUGACGGCAGAUAAGUGGUUAGGGGCACCUGCUGCCUCCUCAGGCUUUUUUAUUUCCCGUUUGAAGCUUCACAGAUGCAACAUGUCAGGAAUUGUGAAAUAUUCCUAAAGAAUUGCAGAAAAGAAGUCAAACUUCAACUGUAAAGAUGCCGCAUGAAAAUAACUAGAAAACGGAGCGUGUCCAGCUUUUGCUAGAAUUCAGGUCCUGUUUUAAAGAAGUGAGUUCUGGAGAUGUAUUUUUACAACCUAAUUAGAUGCUCUGAAGCGGCACAGAGCCUCGCCGCUGAGGGACGCCGAUCUGACGUGAACCUGACCUGAACGCACUUGACACCGACUCCUCUGCGAGUCCCGGGAUGAGGUCAGGUCCUGUUAGAGGACUUCUGUCUGGAUCAGGUGCUGCUCUGAACCUGACUCCUGAGCUCUUCUGUUUCAUCGUAGCCUGACACUCCAGCUCAGGCCACGCCCCCCUCAGUGAUAUCUCACCUCUGGUGCUUGAUGGAAAACUCUUGCUGCUGCAUCACCCAAAGGGGCGGGGCCAAAGUAAUGAUGGCAGGUAAAAAAAAGAUCGUCUGACUGCACACCUGAUGGUGAGAAUCAAAGAGUCGAUCUUUGUCUAAGCGCUAAAAAAGAAUACCUGCAUGUCCUGUUGCCUCUAGUUUCCUGUCAGUAAAUAAUUUACAUAAAAUUCUCGUGCGUGGGGCAGUUAUGGGAAAAUGAUGCAAAAGCAAGUUUUUUGGCGGUCAAAUAAAACUUAACCCAAACUCUGUAUCUACAUUUAUUUUGACAUCAUGGAGAAAGUCAGCAGAACAGUGUGAGACUUCACAUCCUGGCAUUUCUACGUCAGUGUCUGAAGGUUCUGUUGAAUCCAUCCUGUCAGUGAUGAGCGGAGUUUUUUUUUUUCUUUUGCUGGAUCUGUGAAUGAGUGCUGCGUUUGGCCCCUCAGGGGGUGUUUUGGGCCGUCAGCUGAUCGUGGAGCUGCGUGGGCCCGUGUGGCGGUUCCCCCUGGAGUUCCUUAAUGUCAGCGAUCUGCCAACACUUCCCUAAUGAGUUGAUGAUCCUUUGAUCGUCAGCUGCUGAUGAUGGAGGAUCACAUGGCUGCAUGAUGCAGAGACAACACCAACAUCAGAGGUCCCAAAACCAUCUCAGAUCUCCGUCCUGUGGCUCGUCAUCUUGAUGUUUGGCCUAAAAAACAGAC